CUUCCCUCGCCUAAAAGAAGUACAGACGAAAAACAAUUUCUAAUUUGUUUCCUAGACUAAACGCUGCUCAAAUGUUCAAUUGAAAGAUGAAGACUACGUGGCCAAUAUGGAGUAAUUCAAUUAACGGCCACAAGAGAAUGGAUCUGUCACACCGGGUACUGACAUUACAACAGAACAAAGAUAUAAUGAUAUUGGUUGGAGCUGAACCUAUUGAAGGUGAGGCAAGUCCCUAUCUCAUAACUGAGUUUCCAAAGACGGAUUUCUUUCAACUUUGUUUUUUUCAAUAUCGCAGGCAAACCUGGAAUCUUCCCUCCCACUUAGACACUUGAUUCUAACCAAUCAAGACAAGCGGACUCUACAAAGUUUAUUUAAAUAUAUUUUCUCUUCGUAGUAUAUAGCAUAUUCCUUAUCAUAAUAAUAAUGCUACAACUUUCCAUGAAGCAAUAAAUGGCAAAAGAACCCCCAAAAAUUAAAAUCUUGGAAAUACCACUCUAGAAUCCUUGAGAAAUCCAGCUAACAGGUUGAGAAACAUUAUAGCAAGGUUUCUCCACCUCUCCUAGUAAUAAUUGAACUAGAAGCCACAGCUUGAGAGGGACCAUUGUGGGGGGCAACCGUGAAAGAUUUGGGCAGUCAAAGUGCUGAUGCACAGGUUCCGACUAUUGCCCAUUCCAAAAGUGGCAGAAGCUAGACUGUAUUCAACUCACCCACCCAGAGCAGGAAGCCUUGGUUGAGUGGAGUAUCCUGCUAGGAUCAAUAUUAGGCUGGUAUUGUUUUCGAUAUUCUGUAUUACUAGGGAAUUACAAGAUAGAAGUGAUAAAGAAAGAAAGAACGAAGAAAAAAGAAAUAAAAUAAAAGAGUUGAAUUUUCAAUUAUAUGAGGAUAUGGCUUCUCUUCCAUUCUCCCAAGUACCAUAGUGUGAGUGUGUGACAGAUAAAACAUUGCAUAAGCAAAAUUUUGACAUGGCAAAGUUUUAAUAAAAAUUACCCACUAAAUUAAAAGGUGCACCUCAUCAUAUAAAUGACGCAAUUUUGAGACUUCAAGUGUAGCUUAUCUUGAUUUAGUUAACUUUAAUGAUUUAAUUUCCAUAAAAUCUAAUAUGAGAAAGUCUCCAGAAAAAUGAGUGCAUAAUAAGAUGGUCAAACACAUAAUCCAGCUAUGAGCUAAAUUUACUUAAUAGUACUCUCAUAAAAAUAAAAAAUUACUUCCUGGUACAUGGUAUAGUUCCAUCAGUCACUAGGGGAUACUUUGACUUUUCAUUUUUUUUAUUUUUAUAACCGUGAAUGUUCGGACUGUAGUGCCAACGAAAGCUUUGAUGCCAACAAUGUUAGUUCAAGAACACAAAGAUAAAGCAAUCACACAUACGGUACACGAGGUUUUAACGUGGUUCGGCCAACCAUGCCUACGUCCAUGGAUGAGAGAGAAUAAUUCCACUAUACAAUAGAGAAUAUUACAGAGGAUAAAAUCAGAUACAACUAUUAGGUUCCCGAAACAUCUCAUGUUUCCCCACUCCUUGUAUCCAUACCUUACUACGAGCCCUCUCGCUCCACCAGGUACCUCCCAUUCUUCCUCACAUCUCUAUCCACCUCGUAUAGUCUCUAUAGACACAUCUCCAUCUCAUAACUUUUUCCCCUCAUGACCUAGAAUAUUUAUAGAGAUAUUUCCAACAACCUUCCUUAUUCUAUAAGGAAGUCUAAUAUUACAAUAAUAUAUCAACCUAGAAAUAUUCUAUAUAAUAUUCUUUACAAAAAAUGAAUCUAUACUAAUUAGGAAUUUGGGACACUUCCUAACACGGACCAGCUUACAUGCACCUCGACUAAUCCCAUGGGGCCCUAAAAUUAAUGAUCGGGUAAACCUCCAAUGGCCCUGAGGGGCCUCAAACUAGUGACCCUCAGGUCCCACAAGCCUUAGAUAUUUUAUGGUAUGUGGUUUAGAUUGUUUUGUUCUUGGUUCCUUGUUUCCUAAGUGGGGCCUUGUGCAAGUCUGAAUUGUAUGGAACAGUUUCACUGUAAAAUUAGAUUUUAUUAUAAAAUAUAAAAAAGUUAUUGAAAAUAUGUCUAUAAAUAUUCUAAGUCACGAGGAAAAAAAGUCAUGAGAUGUAGAUGAAUCUAUAAAUACUAUAUGAGGUAGAUAGAGAUAUAAGGAAGAAUAUGAGGUACCCGAUGGAGUGAAAAGGCUUGUGAUAUGGUAUGGAUACAAAGAGUGGAAAAAUAUGGGAUGUUGUGAUAAUCCAAUAGUUGUAUUUGGUUCACUCCUCUGUAAUAUUCUCUGUUGUAUAGUGGAAUAAUUCUCAAUCAUCCAUGUACGUAAGCAUGGUUGGUUGAACCACGUUAAAACCUUGUGUAUCAUAUGUGUGAUUGUUUUAUCUUUGUGUUUUUUAUGCGAUUACUUUUAUUAGUUAUUUUCAAAUAAUGAUAACUUGAAAAUUUAUCAUAAAUAAUUAUUUUCAUUUAACUAAAUAUUGGAUUAUUUCUUCUUCCGUUCAAUUUUUAAGUAUGAAGUAUGUCAUGUUAAGAAAUUUAAAAUGGAUCUACUUUGUUUACAAGUUAAGACAUUUUGAUUAAGGGAUAAAUAAUGAAUUAUAAUAUUUCAACUUUAAUUAAGUUGAUUUAUCAAUAUUUAAGCAAAGUUGGAGAAAAAAAAAGGAUGAUACCUAUAUUUUUGUCUUUCAAUAAAUUAACAUAUAGUUUUAGUCAUUACACCUAGUUAUUUCUUUUUUCUCUUCUUCUUCUUCUUUUUUCCUUUGUUUCUUUGACACGCAAUGGCAUACCUUUCAAGACUUUAAGCUCAUAAAAUUUUUCAAGUCUUCUCGUCUUAUCUUUUAAAAUUCUAGUCACUCAAAGUAUUUAAUACUUUUAGCUAUAACUUAUAAGAGUUUUGACCUAUUAAAAAAAUGAACCAAAAAUACUUUGCAAAAUAUUAAAAGUUCGGAAUUAUCUCUUUUAACUUAAAUGUGAGUGUUAUGUGUUCACUAAUUCGCAUAUUUGCAAUAUAACCUAGGAUGGUUGAGCUUUGUAACAUGCUUAUCACAAUCAAUUCAUCCUUCUAUAAUUUUUCUUUUCCCUUUUGGUUCUACUCAUUUUAAUGUAAAGAAGAACCAAAGCAUAUUUAUUAGUUGAUUUUACCCAAGGUUACACACCUGAAAAUUUUAUGCAUUUUUGGUCUAACAAGCUAUGAUACUUAGACCUAGCAUUACAUGUGAAAGAAAACAAAAAGUAAUAAUAAAAAUAUAAUUUUUGUGGGAAAAUUAAAAUUGCUAUGAAAUAUUUUAUUUUCUUAAAUGUUGUUUAGAUAUUGACCUAUUGGCUCGUUAAUUAAAGUUAAAAUACUCUUAACAUUUUUUUUUUUCAUUUCUUUUAUCAAAAUGUCUUGGUUGGGAAAUACUUGAAAUUUAAAUUCCUCUUAAGCUUCUAUUUCUCUAAACUCCAACGGGCUUAAGUAUUAUGAAAGUUUAUGAAUGAAUUGCCUAAUUUUCUUUCCCAUGCAAUGAAGUUAUAAAAAAUAAAAAUAAAAAUAAACUUGUUGAUUUUGGUAAUGCAAGUUGUUUUAGAAAGUUUAACUCUUUUUUCUAACCUGACUCAGUUUUACCCAUUUGACUCAAUGAUUAAAGUAUCACUUUGAUACAAUGAGUCAUUGGUUACUGAGUGAAACCCCUUAUUUUGCCAACAUGACAACAAGCACACAAAUCCUUAAAAAAUAAAUAAGUAUAAAAUUUUAGUAAAUCAUUCUAAUACAUAAUACUAAAUGUAAUGUUGAGGCAAAUGCUAUAUUUUGAUAACAGCAUUCCUCACCAAGUCAUGCCGUGUAUAAGAAAUUGACGAGUGUAUAGAUGAAUGAAUUGGAAAAAGUAAACAUUGGUACAACUUUGGACUAUAAGAGAAUUAGGAAAAGAAAGCAUUGAUAUAGCUUUGGAUUGUGACACAAGAGAAUUGCAAAAAGCUUUGGAAUGUGACAAAAGAACUAGUCAAAUGACAUGAGGAAAACAAUUCGACUUAGAAUUGUAUGCCUGUGAUACAAUAAUUAAGAAUAACUUUCAACCAUUUCUUGCAAAUAAGCACAUAGAUCCAAUGGCUUACAAAACAUGGGCAUGUGAUCUGAACCCAAAAUCACUUUCACCUCAUCCGUUAGAUUAUUUUUUAUCAUCCAUUCCUGAAAAUCCUCUUCUAGCAUCUUAUCCUUAUCACACAUAAUAUAAACUCGACGAACCGUUCCAUACUUUUCCUUAGUCACUGUUGUUUCCGUCAGCAAAUUUUCUCCAUUAAAGACAUUGAUGGGCCUCAUCAACGUGGUUGCAAGCAUCAAAUCCUAUGCUCAAAUUCAUCAUGGUUACAACUUACAAUAGUGUUUUUAAAAAUAAAAAAUAGAAAAACAUAUUCAAUAGGUAUUUUUUGAAAAUAUAUUUUAAUUGCUUUUAUUUAUUUUUAAGGAUUAUUUUAAAAAAUAAUUAUAUAAAUAUACAAAUUAAUCAAAAAUAAAAUACCACGUGUAAAAAAUAUUUUAAAUUCUCAAAUAAACUUUGAUCAUAUAAAAGAUUGAAAAACAGUCCAUGUGUCUUCAAAAAAUUAAAUCGAAAAAUCCGUUUUGAAAGAUACAGCAAUACUUAGUCAUCAUGUCAUUUUGAUAUAUGUAGAAGCGAGAAAAGACACGACUGAAUAUGAUACCUCAGGUGGGGAGAGCUGAUAAAGCUUGGCUGCCAAGUACUCCGGGCCAAAUAUCAGGGAGGUUGGAGGAUUGUUGGGCCCUCUGUCGAACGUCUACUGCGUAUCCAAGGAAGCACCCACUCUACUCUGAUGAAGCUGUAAUUCCAUAUGAAUAUUAAGUCAUUUUUUUGAACUCAAACUGAUUAUCAAUUACAUAAUUAGUUAACGAUGAAAUUCUCCAUAGUCUCAAAUUUAUAAAAAAAAAAAUCAAAUUAUAAUUUUUUUUUUUAAUAUAUAUAUAUGAAAUUUUUGUAUAAAUGCUUAGAAAUUUUUUUUUUUAAAUCAUGCAAUUCAAUCAAUCUAAUCAACUCAAAUUCAUCCCAAUCAAUUCGAAUUCAAUCUAAUCAAUCUAAGUUUAAAAAAUAAAAAAAAAAUAAAAAUGAGAUUGGAUUAAACUUAAUUUAAAUACCGGUUAAAGAUUUAGUUAAGUUGAGUUUGCAUUAAUUAUUUUUAAAAUUCGAAUCAAGUUGAAGUAAGGAUCAAUCCUCCCACCCAUGUUGCACACUGAAUUCCACGCGGCUGGAUAUGGAGAAAGAAAAGAGGAUAAGCAACUUCACCUUCGGGAGAAACAACUCUAGAAUACCCCAAAUUUGCGUGGGGACAACAUGUGCCCUUCUACCAACGUUAUUAAAAUCAUUUCUUGAAUGAAUACGAGUCCCUAGUUUUACAAUCGAGUGAACUUUGGUACAAAUAUCAUACUAUAUUUUAUAUAUAUUUAAAAUUAAAAAUAGUUAUAAAAUGACUUUUAAAAAUGAAUAUAAAUUUAAUUCCUUUAAUUAUUUUUAACCUCUGCCAUAUCAAUUACAAAUUAACUAAAUAUAUGAUUAAUUUUAUUUUCCAAUAAAAAUUUUACCAAUAUUAAUUUUCAAUAGCAGAGGGAUUUGAGUGACUUUAAUAAAAUCCAAUCCAAUUUAAUUUUUUUUUCAUGGACUUGGACAACUAAAUUUGUAAUUUAUGUAAUUUACAAAUUAUUUUUUUUUUUCAAUCCAAUCAACAACGGGUCGUUUUUUAGUUGUUUUGAGUAAUAAUUGAAAAUAUAAAAGAUAUUGUAGAACUUUUACAUUGUAUGUAAGUGUUGAAAAGAAUAAUCCAAAAAAAUGAUUUUUGAUAUUUGAGUUUUCAAAUAGAAUUCUAAAACUUCACGAACAGAUGUAAAAAAUUUCAUAAUUCUAGGCCCUCUUCAGCUGUCUACUAUUGAAAGACUGAAAUGGAAACAUCCUUUUUGUCCAUGGAAAGAGUUUAAGAGAGAGUAUACCUCUUGAAUAACAGUGGGAAGAUUUAAAUCAGGACCCGGCAUUAGAGCAGCUACGAAAACUGCCACAGAAAUUUUCUGAGGGAACCUCUCCAUUGCAACCGAUACGCUGACCCCACCCAAGCUGUGAGCUACCAGGAUCACCUUUUCCCCGGUUACGAGUGAGGUCAUGAACUCAAUCAAUGGUUCAUAGUAGUCUGAAAUUGAAUUAAGCUCGUCUAGUCGCUUUCCAUUGGCACCGGCAGCCGCGAGGUCCAAGGCAGUGACUCUGUGACCAGCAGAUCUCAGCAAAGUUGCCACCUUAUACCAACACCAUGCCCCAUGACAGGCUCCAUGAACUAAUACAAAGUGCCUCUCCCUUUUCUCCAUCCUCCCCUGUUGUUGCUUUUACUAGUGGGUUUUUUCUUACUUUUAUAGUAUGGAACAGUUUCAUUCAGGUCCCAUAAGCCUUGAAUAUUUUAUGGUUUGGUGAUUGAGAUUGUUUUGUUCUUGGUUCCUUGUUUCGCAAGUGUGGCCUUGUGCAAGUUUGAGUCCUGUCGUUGGCUUGCGUCUUUACACUCAGAUAUGUUGAACCCUCCAUCGCUUUUGUUUGUUUUCAGAUAAAAGUUCCCUGUUGCCCAACCCCGCGCUCUUCAUAUAUCUAAGCAAUUUUAUGGAUCAUUUUGUGUUUGAUGAACUCCCCUCGCCUAAAAGAAGUACAAAAGAAAAACAAUUUCUAAUUUGUUUCCUAGACUAAACGCUGCUCAAAUGUUCAAUUGAAAGAUGAAGACUAAUUAACGGCCACAAGAGAAUGGAUCUGUCACACCGGGUACUGACAUUACAACAGAACAAAGAUAUAAUGAUAUUGGUUGGAGCUGAACCUAUUGAAGGUGAGGCAAGUCCCUAUCUCAUAACUGAGUUUCCAAAGACGGAUUUCUUUCAACUUUGUUUUUUUCAAUAUCGCAGGCAAACCUGGAAUCUUCCCUCCCAC
rnacentral:lncRNA from 1 species